rnacentral:tRNA from 1 species
CUUACCCUAGUUUAAUUAAGAAUAUAGGUUUUGGGGAUCUAUGGUCUCGUUAGAGGGGUUUGA